GGCCAGACUCCUACGGGAGGCAACAGUGGGGAAUAUUGCACAAUGGGGGAAACCCUGAUGCAGCGACGCCGCGUGAGUGAGGAAGUAUUUCGGUAUGUAAAGCUCUAUCAGCAGGGAAGAAAAUGACGGUACCUGACUAAGAAGCCCCGGCUAACUACGUGCCAGCAGCCGCGGUAAUACGUAGGGGGCAAGCGUUAUCCGGAUUUACUGGGUGUAAAGGGAGCGUAGACGGCGAUGCAAGUCUGAAGUGAAAGGCGGGGGCCCAACCCCCGGACUGCUUUGGAAACUGUAUAGCUGGAGUGCAGGAGAGGUAAGUGGAAUUCCUAGUGUAGCGGUGAAAUGCGUAGAUAUUAGGAGGAACACCAGUGGCGAAGGCGGCUUACUGGACUGUAACUGACGUUGAGGCUCGAAAGCGUGGGGAGCAAACAGGAUUAGAUACCCCCGUAU
rnacentral:rRNA from 1 species